AUGGUUUAUAUACAGGUGAUCGAUACUUCAGGUAGCUCACUACUUGAUUCCAUAGAUCAUACACUAACAAUUUUUCUUUGGAUACAGCAAGGAUCAUACCCCACCCACGCGGCGGCACGACGCAGAAGGGCUACAUGGGUUAAUAGCGGCGUGUGCAAUGGAAGGACGCCUACGAGAACAAGCUCGCCGAGGUCUUGGAAUUCCAACCUAGGUAAACAAGUGAGCUCACUUUAACAGUUUACCCUUUUUUGGUGAUGUGGGCUAACUCAUUAAUUAAGGGCUACUCAGCUCUGUAUUUUUCUCUCUUUGGUAAUAGAAAUCCCCCUACAUCGCCUCUGUUCGAUUUUGGUAGCUAUCCUUGUUCUAGAUCAUAGGGUUGUCAUCUUCAUAUGUCAUAUGAUAUAUAAUUGAUGCAAAUUGCAGCUGACCCAUCGUCUAUCUGUAACCAUUUAUCUGUAGUUGUGCUCUUUGGCCAGAACGGUGGUAUCUUUGGCCAGAUGACUGGACCAUCUUCUAUGAUCCAGAAGAAGCACCUCUCGCACAAACAUGUAUAUUUAUUUGUGAAUUCGAUCCUAACAAGAGUAUUUGACCUUUAACAUUUUUCUGACAGAAAGUAUGACCACCAAAAUUUCUUGGAAUUCAAUAGCUCCUAAAACAGAUGUUUUGUCAUAGUGAAGGAACCAGAGGGGAGGAUAUAUAGGUAUGCCCCGCCGUGACGCAGCCCUUGAUCCGUCUUUGGUCAAGCUUCUGUAUUAUCUAAUCAUACUGAACAUAUAUCUAUUGCAUCGCUAGAAGCUGAACUCACCAUGUACUGAUUAUAUAUUUUGAAGGAAAUAUGCCCUAGAGGCAAUAAUAAAGUUAUUAUUUAUUUCCUCAUAUCAUGAUAAAUGUUUAUUAUUCAUGCUAGAAUUGUAUUAAUCGGGAACAUGAUACAUGUGUGAAUACAUAGACAAACAUAAAGUCACUAGUAUGCCUCUACUUGACUAGCUCAUUAAUCAAAGAUGCUUAUGUUUCCUAACCAUAGACAUGUGUUGUCAUUUGAUUAACGGGAUCACAUCAUUAGGAGAAUGAUGUGAUUGACUUGACCCAUUUCGUUAGCUUAGCACACGAUCGUUUAGUAUGUUGCUACUGCUUUCUUCAUGACUUAUACAAAGUUCCUACAACUAUGAGAUUGUGCAACUCCCGUUUACCGGAGGAACACUUUGUGUGCUACCAAACGUCACAACGUAACUGGGUGAUUAUAAAGGUGCUCUACAGGUGUCUCCAAAGGUACAUGUUGAGUUGGCAUAAUUCGAGAUUAGGUUUUGUCACUCCGAUUGUCGGAGAGGUAUCUCUGGGCCCUCUCGGUAAUACUCAUCACUUAAGCCUUGCAAGCAUUGUAACUAAUGAGUUAGUUACGAAAUGAUGUAUUACGGAACGAGUAAAGAGACUUGCCGGUAACGAGAUUGAACUAGGUAUUGGAUACCGACGAUCAAAUUCUCGGGCAAGUAACAUACCGAUGACAAAGGGAACAACGUAUGUUGUUAUGCGGUUUGACCGAUAAAGAUCUUCGUAGAAUAUGUAGGAACCAAUAUGGGCAUUCAGGUCCCGCUAUUGGUUAUUGACCGAGAAUGGUUCUAGGUCAUGUCUACAUAGUUCUCGAACCCGUAGGGUCCGCACGCUUAACGUUACGAUGACAGUUUUAUUAUGAGUUUAUAAGUUUUGAUGUACCGAAGUUUGUUCGGAGUCCCGGAUGUGAUCACGGACAUGACGAGGAGUCUCGAAAUGGUCGAGACAUAAAGAUUGAUAUAUUGAACGACUAUAUUCGGACACCGGAAGUGUUCCGGAUGAUUUCGGAGAAAACCGGAGUGUCGGGGGGGUUACCGGAACCCCCCGGGAGAGUAUUGGGCCUUAUGGGCCUUAGGGGAAAGGAGAGAUGGGCGGCCAGCAUGGGCCACGCGCCCCCUCCACCCUCUGGUCCGAAUUGGACUAGGAGGGGGGCGGCGCCCCCCUCUUUCCUUCCCCCUCUUCCCCUUCCUCCCCCCUCCUAGUAGGAGUAGGAAAGGAGGAGUCCUACUCCUACUAGGAGGAGGAUUCCUCCUCCCUUGGCGCGCCCAAAGGGGCCGGCCGGCCUCCCCCUCCCUCCUUUAUAUACGGGGGCAGGGGGCACCCCAUAUACACACAAGUUGAUCUACAGAUCGUUCCUUAGCCGUGUGCGGUGCCCCCCUCCACCAUAUUCCACCUCGGUCAUAUCGUCGCGGAGUUUAGGCGAAGCCUUGCGCCGGUAGAACAUCAUCAUCAUCACCACGCCGUCGUGCUGACGGAACUCAUCCCCGAAGCUUUGCUGGAUCGGAGCCCGGGAAUCGUCAUCGAGCUGAACGUGUGCUGAACUCGGAGGUGCCGUACGUUCGGUGCUUGGAUCGGUCGGAUCGUGAAGACGUACAACUACAUCAACCGCGUUGUCAUAACGCUUCCGCUUACGGUCUACGAGGGUACGUGGACGAACACUCUCCCCUCUCGUUGCUAUGCCAUCACCAUGAUAUUGCGUGUGCGUAGGAAAUUUUUUGAAAUUACUACGUUGCCCAACAUAUUUCCCUGGUCACAAUUAGAUGGUUAAUAAUUUCAUGCACACAAUAGCAGAUAUUCAGAUAUUUGGAAUUGUUUUGCUGUGUUCUUUCUAUGAAAGAUAAGCAUGAAUGCAGCGAUGGCAAAUCUAAACAUCGUUGCCAAUUUUCUCUUUCAUGGAGUAGGAUGAAUGUCAUGGCAGCAACUGCAAGCUGCAAAAACAUUAUUGUUACGGGGUGCACCAGUUUCAACUGUGUCUUCUUGCAAGCUCCUUGUCAAGGAGAGUCCCAAGGUCAGUCUGUACUCUGUUGGCUAAUUAAUCCAUUGACUAUGUCCUAUGAUUCUCUAGGAGCACUAAGAAAUUGUAUGUUUUUUUAUAAGGUGACUGAAACAAAAAUAAUAAUAUUUUCACGCCACAUCCAGGAGAUGAAAACUUUAUUGGUAAAAAGACACAAGCUUACCCUUUUCAGCUUGUCUCAAGCAAUUAAGAGUUCCGUUCUUAUUUUUGAGCACUUCGAAUGUGUAUCUCUUAUGGACUAAUACUUUCUGAUCUGACACCCUAGUAACAUCAUGAUUUUGUGUAAUUUUUCUGAGUGCAAGGCUGGCUGACCCAUUUUUUUACAAGGAUUUGCAAUACUGAGAGACUCAGCCUGCACUGGUAAAAAUCCCAAUUGACUUUGCCCUUGAUUAUUGCAAUAAUGGGUUGAUUUUAGUGGUUUGGUCUGUGACGUGAAUGUGAGCUAGAGUAUAGGGAUUACCUGUGCCACUAUCAGUUGGCUUACAGUUUGGUGAUCCAGCACAAUCUUUCUAUUUUCUUCAAAUUCUUAAGCAAUUACUCACGUUUGAAGAAUGACGAUGGAGCAUACCUUCUUUUAGAAAACUAUACUGUGGACCAUGGGUGUUCAAGAUUAUAUUGUGGUUUGGGCAAUUGUGAGACGUCUAUCACCAUGAAUUGCUUAGAUGAUGCACCAAAGUGGACCUAUUUUGCAUUCAUGGACUUUGAUAUUUUUACUGAUCUCAUGGUUGUGAACAUCAAUGGUGUAAAGUAUAUGUAUUGCUGCUCAUAGAUAAAUCUUUACCGAGUUUUCAUUUUAUCAUGUACACUUCAAGUCUUGCUUGCCAAACUUCCACAAGUUCAUGUUAAAUUGUUAACUGCCUCAUGUUUGUUCUUCAUUAUUCCAUAUCAAAGUGAUGUUGUCCAAUGCGUCUGUUCCUGUCUGAUGAAAUUGCUUUCCAUGAGGUAUGCCCUGAAGAUGACACAAUAUCAUUCCUCUUGGUGCCUGUGCUAAUAUAACUCUUAUUUUGAAAAAAAAAACAGUUUCUAUGUAUUUGGGAGCAGGAUAUUAGGUAGAAAUCUUUUGGUGAACUGCAGAUUUAAGCGUCUCUGGCGAGUUCUUUGUCGGUCAGCACCACCUCCCUUGGCGCUUGACCUAGCAGAUGUGUGUGCGUGUGCAGAUCACCCAUGCCUCCACUACGCCACCUGCUGUUGGAUGGCACUGGCCGUCCAAGCGUGUGGAACUGGAAGGACUGUCCUUCAUGGUGGCACAACUCAGCUCGGAGGAUAAAAGACCAAGGUCCUGCAGGUAACAUCCCAUCAACUACCUGUCUACUCCCUCCGUCCCAAUAUAAGUGACUCAACUUUGUACUAACUUUAGUACAAAGUUAGUACAAACUUGAGUCACUUAUUUUCGGACGGAGGGAUUACUAAAUAGAAAGCUUCCAUCUUGAUGUAAUUUACUGGAGGUUAAUCCUACUUGCUUGUUUGAUAAACCUUGUCAUAUGCUUCAUGUGAGGUUUCUUGUAUUGGUAGCAGGCAAUGAGUUACUAUAUAUGAUAUCAUAUUCCAAAUACAAUUAUUCAACUCAUCAGUUCAGCAGAUCCUACAUAAAAGGAAAAGUGAACAGACAACAUGCAUUUGCUUUGGUUUAUGGUUUUUUAGAGCAUCACUAAGUUUGCCAAAAGAAAUUCGCCCAAAACAAACAUCACGACACUCCGUUUUAGCCUAAACAGAAGUGGCUUCAGUUUAUGACAUCUCUGAAUUUUGAGAAUAGUAGGACAUGAUCUGCAAUUGCGCUUUGCAAGUUUUACUGAUUUCUUGUGCAAGAUCCUAAAACAGUUUACCAUUUUGAUCCCUAGAUUUUCUUAUAUUGUCGAAGUUUCUUCCAAAUAAAUAUACAAUAUGUUUGGGGUUUAUCUGAGUGCCUAGCAUGGUGCAACAGUUAUAUUUUUCUUCAACGACGGUGAAAGAGCUAUCACUUAUAUCGAUCUCCAAUUCAAGUUCUUUUUUUCUAUGGAGGGCACUGUAACUAUCUCAUGGUCAGAACAUUGAUCCUGUUAGUAAUUUAGUCUAUAAUAUUUAGUUUCAAAAGAUAAUUUCUCUUGAGUGAGAAGUUUCCAUUUCUCUUGAGUGAGAAAUUUCCAGAGGGCGGCGGUGUUGAAGGGAGCCGCUGGCGCUGGCCAAGAUCCCAACCGAUGGACGUGCCUGGUCGCUGGAUCCAGUUCACGCGUUGGCUUGGGGGCACCUCGGGGAUGUCACCGGUGUUGGAGGCGUCCACAAUAGUGCGGGAUGGGGACCGAGCGUCGGGGCAUGUCGCGGGUUCCGGUUGAGGGCUUGAUCAUAUAACUGAAUUCUUAUUGCUUGCUUUCUGACAUUGUGACAUUGAACACUAGAGCUGAAUUGACUCUCUUCACAAGACUCACUUUGAUACAGCCUUCAUGUGAAGUUUUCAAGUACUACAUAUAGGAGGGGGCAGGAGUGGCUGCAAUCUUGCUACGAAAUGACACUUAUGGAGCUUCUUUACCUAACAUGGCCAAGAAGUCUGCAAACUCCAGUAAUCGUAGAGUAGAGCCGGUUGGAUACAUAUUUGCAGAGUGCAUGUAGUGUGUGUGUCAGAUAUACAGUGGGAAAACACAACAAUGCAAGUGUCAGAUCCUGUUCUCGAUGCAAUUUUGCGACUCUAUUCUGGACUGUAAGCAAUUGGUUGAUGUUAAGCUGAAACUCGGAUCAGUCUUGUGGCUCUUGUGUACCUAUAUGCCUAGAUUAUUUAAUAAUGGUAUAUGAACUAUAUCUUCCUGUAUAGGAUGAUCAAUUGCCAGGAAUAGAAAGACUAUGGUUUUGAUUUUUAUCAUGUUUUUGUGAUUAGCUUCCUGGUAGACUGGACUUCCAGUUAUCUGCUAGACUAAAUAAUUUCUAGCUGAUUUUUAACUAUUGAUUAGUACACAGAGAUGAAUUAUGUUGGUCUCAAAAUGCAACACAUUUCUUGGAUGCCUUGAC
rnacentral:lncRNA from 1 species